UACAGAGGUCUCAAGCGUUUGUUCGGAUUCAUUGGGCGUAAAGGGUGUGUAGGUGGCGCCGUAAGUCGGGUGUGAAAUUUCGGAGCUUAACUCCGAAACUGCAUUCGAUACUGCCGGUGCUUGAGGACUGGAGAGGAGACUGGAAUUUACGGUGUAGCAGGUGAAAUGCGUAGAUAUCGUAAGGAAGACCAGUGGCGAAGGCGGGUCUCUGGACAGUUCCUGACGCUGAGGCACGAAGGCCCAGGGGGAGCAAAACGGGG
rnacentral:rRNA from 1 species